CUGGGAAUCUGGACAGAGCGUGAGUGAACGGAAUGAAGAUGACAAGAAAGGGAAGGAAAGCUCUUUUCCCCCUUACAAACCCUGUAAGAGAGGAACAAAAUGGACACAGCAGUUCUGUGCUUCGCCUUCCAAAGUGAGCAACAGGCGCAACAUCCGAAGCAAUAUCCGAGGCCAUUGCACCCAGCAGCAGAGGUUGUAAUGACCCCACUGUAGACCCUCACCACCAACAACGCUCCUAUGUAGUAGGCAUAACAUGUUCUAUGAAAGCAAGACCAUGGGAGGAACUGGCACGUGUGUUUGGGAAGAGGAAAAGGUUAUUGAGUGCCCACUAUGUGUCAGGCACUAAGCCGAGCACUUCCACAUAUUAAUGUUUUACACUUGAGUUUUCAUUAACAGCUCUAGUCUGUACUAUUAAUAAAAGAUAAAGA